rnacentral:rRNA from 1 species
GCAUCGAUGAAGAACGCAGCGAAAUGCGAUACUUGGUGUGAAUUGCAGAAUCCCGUGAACCAUCGAGUCUUUGAACGCAAGUUGCGCCCGAAGCCAUUAGGCCGAGGGCACGUCUGGCUGGGUGUCACACAUCG